CCUACGGGGGGCAGCAGUGGGGGAUAUUGGACAAUGGGGGGAAGCCUGAUCCAGCGACGUCGCGUGAGUGAAGAAGUAUCUCGGGAUGUAAAGCUCUAUCAGCAGGGAAGAAGAUGACGGUACCUGACCAAGAAGCCCCGGCUAACUACGUGCCAGCAGCCGCGGUAAUACGUAGGGGGCAAGCGUGAUCCGGAUUUACUGGGUGUAAAGGGGGCGCAGACGGCAAUGCAAGCCAGGAGUGGAAGCCCGGGGCACAACCCCGGGACUGCGAUUGGAACUGGAUGGCUUGAGUACAGGAGGGGUAGGCGGAAUUCCUGGUGUAGCGGUGAAAUGCGUAGAUAUCAGGAGGAACACCGGUGGCGAAGGCGGCCUGCUGGACUGUGACUGACGUUGAGGCCCGAAGGCGUGGGGAGCAAACAGGAUGAGAUACCCUUGUAGUC
rnacentral:rRNA from 1 species